AGGAAAAGAAACUAACAAGGAUUCCCCUAGUAACGGCGAGUGAAGCGGGAUGAGCUCAAGCUUAAAAUCUCCGUGCAAUUUUUGCACGGCGAAUUGUAGUCUAUAGAGGCGUGGUCAGUAUAAGCACUUGGGGUAAGUUCCUUGGAAAAGGACAGCAUGGAGGGUGAUACUCCCGUUCAUCUCUAAGUUGCUUGUGCGUACGACCCGUUUUCUUUGAGUCGCGUUGUUUGAGAAUGCAGCGCAAAGUAGGUGGUAAAUUCCAUCUAAAGCUAAAUAUUGGUGCGAGACCGAUAGCAAACAAGUACCGUGAGGGAAAGAUGAAAAGAACUUUGAAAAUAGAGUUAAAGAGUACCUGAAACUGCUGAAAGGGAACCAAAUCGUUUCCAGUGUCUAUAAUCCGUGGUAUAUUUCAUUGGCGAGUGUGUGCGUGCGUGUGCUGUUGCAGUAGCUUUUUGGCUGCGCUCAGUGUGUGUGCUGUGUGUACUUGCUGGUGCCCUGUGCUACGGUGGGACGUCAAGGUCAGUUCGUAUGCUGCGGGAAAUGGCUACUGAGGAGGUAGGGCUUACGCUUGCGUUUGUCUGUUAUAUCUUGGUGGACGAGUCGUCGCGGUUGGGACUGAGGUGCCUACAACGUGCUUUUGAGUGGGCUUGGGUCUCCGUGUGCGCCGUGUGCGGAUAGCUUGCUAUGCGUGUGUGGUUGUAUGUGGAUUGAUGCGAGCCGUAACUUGUAGUCGUUCGGGACGUUGACGAAAUGGAGCGAUUUGACCCGU
rnacentral:rRNA from 1 species